rnacentral:rRNA from 1 species
CGGCGUGCCUAAUACAUGCAAGUCGAACGGUCUUUCUAUGGAAGCUUGCUUCCACUGAGAAGAUAGUGGCGAACGGGUGAGUAACACGUGGGUAACCUGCCCAUAAGAGGGGGGAUAACAUCCGGAAACGGGUGCUAAUACCGCAUAGUUUUCUUGAUCGCAUGAUCGGGAAAGGAAAGACGGCCUUUGUGCUGUCGCUUAUGGAUGGACCCGCGGCGUAUUAGUUAGUUGGUGAGGUAACGGCUCACCAAGACGAUGAUACGUAGCCGACCUGAGAGGGUGAUCGGCCACAUUGGGACUGAGACACGGCCCAAACUCCUACGGGAGGCAGCAGUAGGGAAUCUUCCGCAAUGGACGAAAGUCUGACGGAGCAACGCCGCGUGAGUGAAGAAAGGUUUUCGGAUCGUAAAACUCUGUUGUUAGAGAAGAACAAGGAUGAGAGUAGAAUGUUCAUCCCUUGACGGUAUCUAACCAGAAAGCCACGGCUAACUACGUGCCAGCAGCUGC